rnacentral:rRNA from 1 species
AUUGAACGCUGGCGGCAGGCUUAACACAUGCAAGUCGAGCGGGGGAAGGUAGCUUGCUACCGGACCUAGCGGCGGACGGGUGAGUAAUGCUUAGGAAUCUGCCUAUUAGUGGGGGACAACAUCUCGAAAGGGAUGCUAAUACCGCAUACGUCCUACGGGAGAAAGCAGGAGAUCUUCGGACAUUGCGCUAAUAGAUGAGCCUAAGUCGGAUUAGCUAGUUGGUGGGGUAAAGGCCUACCAAGGCGACGAUCUGUAGCGGGUCUGAGAGGAUGAACCGCCACACUUGGACUGGGACACGGCCCAGACUCCUACGGGAGGCAGCAGUGGGGAAUAUUGGACAAUGGGGGGAACCCUGAUCCAGCCAUGCCGCGUGUGUGAAGAAGGCCUUAUGGUUGUAAAGCACUUUAAGCGAGGAGGAGGCUACUCUAGUUAAUACCUAGGGAUAGUGGACGUUACUCGCAGAAUAAGCACCGGCUAACUCUGUGCCAGCCGCCGCCGUAA